rnacentral:rRNA from 1 species
GAUGAACGCUGGCGGCGUGCCUAAUACAUGCAAGUCGAGCGAACAGAUGAGGAGCUUGCUCCUCUGACGUUAGCGGCGGACGGGUGAGUAACACGUGGAUAACCUACCUAUAAGACUGGGAUAACUUCGGGAAACCGGAGCUAAUACCGGAUAAUAUAUUGAACCGCAUGGUUCAAUAGUUAAAUACGGUUUUGCUGUCACUUAUAGAUGGAUCCGCGCCGCAUUAGCUAGUUGGUAAGGUAACGGCUUACCAAGGCGACGAUGCGUAGCCGACCUGAGAGGGUGAUCGGCCACACUGGAACUGAGACACGGUCCAGACUCCUACGGGAGGCAGCAGUAGGGAAUCUUACGCAAUGGGCGAAAGCCUGACGGAGCAACGCCGCGUGAGUGAUGAAGGUCUUCGGAUCGUAAAACUCUGUUAUUAGGGAAGAACAAAUGUGUAAGUAACUAUGCACGUCUUGACGGUACCUAAUCAGAAAGCCACGGCUAACUACGUG